rnacentral:rRNA from 1 species
GACGAACGCUGGCGGCGUGCCUAAUACAUGCAAGUAGAACGCAGUUGCGAACGGGUGAGUAACGCGUAGGUAACUUCCUCAUAGCGGGGGAUAACUAUUGGAAACGAUAGCUAAUACCGCAUACUGUGAGCUGGACCUGCGUUGCAUUUGGUAGUUGGUGAGGUAAAGGCUCACCAAGGGGACGAUACAUAGCCGACCUGAGAGGGUGGUCGGGCACAAUGGGACUGAGACACGGCCCAGACUCCUACGGGAGGGAACAAGAGGGAAACAUCGGAAAAGGAGGGAAGUCUGACCGAGGAACGCCGCGUGAGUGAAGGAAGUUUUCGGAUCGGAAAACUAUGUUGUUAGAGAAGCGGUAACUGACGAAAAAGGGACGGCUAACUACGUGCCAGCAGCCGCGGUAAUAC